rnacentral:rRNA from 1 species
UAACGCGUGGAUAACCUGCCGUAUACCGGGGGAUAACACUUAGAAAUAGGUGCUAAUACCGCAUAAGCGCACGGCUCCGCAUGGGGCAGUGUGAAAAACUCCGGUGGUAUACGAUGGAUCCGCGUCUGAUUAGCUAGUUGGCGGGGUAACGGCCCACCAAGGCAGCGAUCAGUAGCCGGCCUGAGAGGGUGGACGGCCACAUUGGGACUGAGACACGGCCCAAACUCCUACGGGAGGCAGCAGUGGGGAAUAUUGCACAAUGGGGGAAACCCUGAUGCAGCGACGCCGCGUGAGUGAAGAAGUAUCUCGGUACGUAAAGCUCUAUCAGCAGGGAAGAAAAUGACGGUACCUGACUAAGAAGCCCCGGCUAACUACGUGCCAGCAGCCGCGGUAAUACGUAGGGGGCAAGCGUUAUCCGGAUUUACUGGGUGUAAAGGGAGCGUAGACGGCAGCACAAGUCUGGAGUGAAAUCCCGGGGCUUAACCCCGGAACUGCUUUGGAAACUGUGCGGCUGGAGUGCAGGAGGGGUAAGCGGAAUUCCUAGUGUAGCGGUGAAAUGCGUAGAUAUUAGGAGGAACACCGGUGGCGAAGGCGGCUUACUGGACUGUAACUGACGUUGAGGCUCGAAAGCGUGGGGAGCAAACAGGAUUAGAUACCCUGGUAGUCCACGCCGUAAACGAUGAUUACUAGGUGU